AGAGUUUGAUCCUGGCUCAGAUUGAACGCUGGCGGCAUGCCUUACACAUGCAAGUCGAACGGUAACGCGGGGGCAACCCUGGCGACGAGUGGCGAACGGGUGAGUAAUACAUCGGAACAUAUCCAGUAGCGGGGGAUAACCUAUCGAAAGAUGGACUAAUACCGCAUACGAUCUACGGAUGAAAGCAGGGGACCGCAAGGCCUUGCACUAUUGGAGUGGCCGAUGUCGGAUUAGCUAGUUGGUGGGGUAAAAGCUUACCAAGGCGACGAUCCGUAGCUGGUCUGAGAGGACGAUCAGCCACACUGGAACUGAGACACGGUCCAGACUCCUACGGGAGGCAGCAGUGGGGAAUUUUGGACAAUGGGCGCAAGCCUGAUCCAGCCAUGCCGCGUGAGUGAAGAAGGCCUUCGGGUUGUAAAGCUCUUUCGGUGAAGACGAAACGGUUCAUGCUAAUAACGUGAACUAAUGACGGUACUCACAGAAGAAGCACCGCCUAACUACGUGCCAGCAGCCGCGGUAAUACGUAGGGUGCAGGCGUUAAUCGGAAUUACUGGGCGUAAAGCGUGCGCAGGCGGUUUGCUAAGACAGGUGUGAAAUCCCCGGGCUUAACCUGGGAAUUGCGCUUGUAACUGGCAAGCUAGAGUGUGGCAGAGGGGGGUGGAAUUCCACGUGUAGCAGUGAAAUGCGUAGAUAUGUGGAGGAACACCGAUGGCGAAGGCAGCCCCCUGGGUUAACACUGACGCUCAUGCACGAAAGCGUGGGGAGCAAACAGGAUUAGAUACCCUGGUAGUCCACGCCCUAAACUAUGUCAACUAGUUGUCGGGGAAGAAAUUCCUUGGUAACGAAGCUAACGCGUGAAGUUGACCGCCUGGGGAGUACGGCCGCAAGGUUAAAACUCAAAGGAAUUGACGGGGACCCGCACAAGCGGUGGAUUAUGUGGAUUAAUUCGACAACGCGAAAAACCUUACCUACCCUUGACAUGCUAGGAAGCCCGCAGAGAUGUGGGUGUGCCCGAAAGGGAACCUAGACACAGGUGCUGCAUGGCUGUCGUCAGCUCGUGUCGUGAGAUGUUGGGUUAAGUCCCGCAACGAGCGCAACCCUUGCCAUUAGUUGCUACAUUCAGUUGGGCACUCUAAUGGGACCGCCGGUGACAAACCGGAGGAAGGGGGAUGACGUCAAGUCCUCAUGGCCCUUAUGGGUAGGGCUUCACACGUAAUACAAUGGUCGGUACAGAGGGCUGCCAACCCGCAAGGGGGAGCUAAUCCCAGAAAGCCGAUCGUAGUCCGGAUUGUAGUCUGCAACUCGACUGCAUGAAGCCGGAAUCGCUAGUAAUCGCGGAUCAGCAUGUCGCGGUGAAUACGUUCCCGGGUCUUGUACACACCGCCCGUCACACCAUGGGAGUGGGUUCCACCAGAAGUAGUUAGCCUAACCGCAAGGAGGGCGAUUACCACGGUGAGAUUCAUGACUGGGGUGAAGUCGCAACAAGGUA
rnacentral:rRNA from 1 species